GACGAACGCUGGCGGCGUGCCUAAUACAUGCAAGUUGAGCGCUGAAGGUUGGUACUUGUACCAACUGGAUGAGCAGCGAACGGGUGAGUAACGCGUGGGGAAUCUGCCUUUGAGCGGGGGACAACAUUUGGAAACGAAUGCUAAUACCGCAUAAAAACUUUAAACACAAGUUUUAAGUUUGAAAGAUGCAAUUGCAUCACUCAAAGAUGAUCCCGCGUUGUAUUAGCUAGUUGGUGAGGUAAAGGCUCACCAAGGCGAUGAUACAUAGCCGACCUGAGAGGGUGAUCGGCCACAUUGGGACUGAGACACGGCCCAAACUCCUACGGGAGGCAGUAGUAGGGAAUCUUCGGCAAUGGACGAAAGUCUGACCGAGCAACGCCGCGUGAGUGAAGAAGGUUUUCGGAUCGUAAAACUCUGUUGGUAGAGAAGAACGUUGGUGAGAGUGGAAAGCUCAUCAAGUGACGGUAACUACACAGAAAGGGACGGCUAACUACGUG
rnacentral:rRNA from 1 species